CAAUAGCGUAUAUUAAAGUUGUUGCAGUUAAAAAGCUCGUAGUUGGAUUUCUGGUGGGAGCGAUCGGUCUGGCGCUUAGCGCGAGUACUUGCAUCGUCUCCGGCCAUCCUUGGGGGGAGUCUGUCUGGCAUUAAGUUGUCGGGCAGAGGAUCCUCAUCGUUUACUGUGAAAAAAUUAGAGUGUUCAAAGCAGGCUUAUGCCGUUGAAUAUAUUAGCAUGGAAUAAUAAGAUAGGACUUUGGUACUAUUUUGUUGGUUUGCGCACCAAAGUAAUGAUUAAUAGGGACAGUUGGGGGUAUUCGUAUUCCGUUGUCAGAGGUGAAAUUCUUGGAUUUACGGAAGACGAACUACUGCGAAAGCAUUUACCAAGGAUGUUUUCAUUAA
rnacentral:rRNA from 1 species